rnacentral:rRNA from 1 species
UAUCCUACGGGAGGCAGCAGUGGGGAAUAUUGGGCAAUGGACGCAAGUCUGACCCAGCAACGCCGCGUGAAGGAAGAAGGCUUUCGGGUUGUAAACUUCUUUUAAGGGGGAAGAGCAGAAGACGGUACCCCUUGAAUAAGCCACGGCUAACUACGUGCCAGCAGCCGCGGUAAUACAUAGGGGGCAAGCGUUAUCCGGAUUUAUUGGGUGUAAAGGGUGCGUAGACGGAGAAACAAGUUGGUUGUGAAAUCCCUCGGCUCAACUGAGGAACUGCAACCAAAACUAUUUCCCUUGAGUGUCGGAGA